rnacentral:rRNA from 1 species
UAGGGAAUCUUCGGCAAUGGACGAAAGUCUGACCGAGCAACGCCGCGUGAGUGAAGAAGGUUUUCGGAUCGUAAAACUCUGUUGUUAGAGAAGAACAAGGACGUUAGUAACUGAACGUCCCCUGACGGUAUCUAACCAGAAAGCCACGGCUAACUACGUGCCAGCAGCCGCGGUAAUACGUAGGUGGCAAGCGUUGUCCGGAUUUAUUGGGCGUAAAGCGAGCGCAGGCGGUUUCUUAAGUCUGAUGUGAAAGCCCCCGGCUCAACCGGGGAGGGUCAUUGGAAACUGGGGGACUUGAGUGCAGAAGAGGAGAGUGGAAUUCCAAGUGUAGCGGUGAAAUGCGUAGAUAUAUGGAGGAACACCAGUGGCGAAGGCGGCUCUCUGGUCUGUAACUGACGCUGAGGCUCGAAAGCGUGGGGAGCAAACAGG